rnacentral:lncRNA from 1 species
GUGGUGGCGGUAAUGCACCAGAAACGUUGUUGCCAAUCGACAUUAAACAAGAAGAAGUAGCAGCGCUUGUAAAAAGCAGAACUUGGCCGUAAGGAAGUAAGAGUAUAACUACAGUCAUCAAACUUUUCAUCUUCCACGAGGACUUUUAGUUUUUUUAAGCCGUCUAAGGCAAAGAUCGUGUGGCUGUGCUGAGCUUCCUUUCUGCUUCUCCUCUGGUCUCCAGCAGAUCGCGUUUCUGUUUCUGAUGUGUGUUUGGAAAGAUAUACGCUCUCGUUGAUCGUUGUAAACAAAGAACGUGUACUUGUGCUGACUGACGGGAGUAACAUGCCGGAAAGAGGAGGCUUCUGCAAUUUCAGCUUGACCCUCUAAACAGCAAGUAAGUAAUCAUUUUUUGUCAUCUUUCCUUGCUGUCCCACUGGACUGGACAUUAGUUUAGUUUUUUUAGCUACAUCUGGUGAAGUUGUGGUAAAAUACUGGUAUUAGCCUAUUCGUCGUAGCAAGCUAGCCUGAAGCUAAUAUUUGCUAAAUUUAGGGAUACCUGUGUCUCUUUAGGAGUUGGAGGCCGGUGUUUUAGGAGCGGCACAAGAUCUCAUCAACAGGCAGUGUUGGGGAGUAACGUAAUACAUGCACCGGCGUUACGUAUUUAAAAUACAAAAUAUAAGUAAAUGUAUCCGUUAUAGUUACUGGUGAUAUUGAGAAUACAGUUAGUUUGUUGAAAUAAAUGGAUUACAUG